rnacentral:rRNA from 1 species
AACGAACGCUGGCGGCAGGCCUAACACAUGCAAGUCGAGCGAGGACUUCGGUCCUAGCGGCGGACGGGUGAGUAACGCGUGGGAACGUGCCCUUUGCUUCGGAAUAGCCCUGGGAAACUGGGAGUAAUACCGGAUGAGCCCUUUGGGGGAAAGAUUUAUCGGCGAAGGAUCGGCCCGCGUUGGAUUAGGUAGUUGGUGGGGUAAUGGCCUACCAAGCCGACGAUCCAUAGCUGGUUUGAGAGGGUGAUCAGCCACACUGGGACUGAGACACGGCCCAGACUCCUACGGGAGGCAGCAGUGGGGAAUCUUAGACAAUGGGGGAAACCCUGAUCUAGCCAUGCCGCGUGAGCGAUGAAGGCCUUAGGGUUGUAAAGCUCUUUCAGCUGGGAAGAUAAUGACGGUACCAGCAGAAGAAGCCCCGGCUAACUCCGCG